rnacentral:rRNA from 1 species
AUGGUUCCUUUGGUCGCUCGCUCCUCUCCUACUUGGAUAACUGUGGUAAUUCUAGAGCUAAUACAUGCCGACGGGCGCUGACCCCCUUCGCGGGGGGGAUGCGUGCAUUUAUCAGAUCAAAACCAACCCGGUCAGCCUCCUCCCGGCCCCGGCCGGGGGGCGGGCGCCGGCGGCUUUGGUGACUCUAGAUAACCUCGGGCCGAUCGCACGCCCCCCGUGGCGGCGACGACCCAUUCGAACG